UGGGAGCAGCAUGAGAAAGACUCACCUCC
rnacentral:piRNA from 1 species